rnacentral:rRNA from 1 species
CUUGUGGCCCCAAGUCAGGCGAGGCCACCCGCUGAGUUUAAGCAUAUAAAUAAGCGGAGGAGGAGAAACUUACGAGGAUUCCCCUAGUAACGGCGA